rnacentral:rRNA from 1 species
UAAGGAAUAUUGCUCAAUGGGAGAAAUCCUGAAGCAGCAACGCCGCGUGGAGGAUGAAGGGUCUAUGACUUGUAAACUCCUGUAAAGAAGGAAAAAAUUCCCAUUUGAUGGGAGAUGAUGGUACUUCUGGAGUAAGCCCCGGCUAACUACGUGCCAGCAGCCGCGGUAAUACGUAGGGUGCGAGCGUUACUCGGAAUUACUGGGCGUAAAGCGUGCGCAGGCGGUUUUGUAAGACAGAGGUGAAAUCCCCGGGCUCAACAGGGGAACUUACUUUGUGACGGCAAGGCUGGAUGACGGCAAAGNGGGAUGGAAUUCCGCGUGUAGCAGUGAAAUGCGUAGAGAUGCAGAGGAACACCGAUGGCAAAGGCAAUCCCCUGGGCCUGCACUGACGCUCAUGCACGA